GCUCAGGACGAACGCUGGCGGCGUGCCUAAUACAUGCAAGUCGAGCGGACAGAUGGGAGCUUGCUCCCUGAUGUUAGCGGCGGACGGGUGAGUAACACGUGGGUAACCUGCCUGUAAGACUGGGAUAACUCCGGGAAACCGGGGCUAAUACCGGAUGGUUGUUUGAACCGCAUGGUUCAAACAUAAAAGGUGGCUUCGGCUACCACUUACAGAUGGACCCGCGGCGCAUUAGCUAGUUGGUGAGGUAACGGCUCACCAAGGCAACGAUGCGUAGCCGACCUGAGAGGGUGAUCGGCCACACUGGGACUGAGACACGGCCCAGACUCCUACGGGAGGCAGCAGUAGGGAAUCUUCCGCAAUGGACGAAAGUCUGACGGAGCAACGCCGCGUGAGUGAUGAAGGUUUUCGGAUCGUAAAGCUCUGUUGUUAGGGAAGAACAAGUACCGUUCGAAUAGGGCGGUACCUUGACGGUACCUAACCAGAAAGCCACGGCUAACUACGUGCCAGCAGCCGCGGUAAUACGUAGGUGGCAAGCGUUGUCCGGAAUUAUUGGGCGUAAAGGGCUCGCAGGCGGUUUCUUAAGUCUGAUGUGAAAGCCCCCGGCUCAACCGGGGAGGGUCAUUGGAAACUGGGGAACUUGAGUGCAGAAGAGGAGAGUGGAAUUCCACGUGUAGCGGUGAAAUGCGUAGAGAUGUGGAGGAACACCAGUGGCGAAGGCGACUCUCUGGUCUGUAACUGACGCUGAGGAGCGAAAGCGUGGGGAGCGAACAGGAUUAGAUACCCUGGUAGUCCACGCCGUAAACGAUGAGUGCUAAGUGUUAGGGGGUUCCGCCCCUUAGUGCUGCAGC
rnacentral:rRNA from 1 species